GGAGAGGUGGCCGAGAGGCUGAAGGCGGCGGUUUGCUAAACCGUUAUACGGGUAAAACUGUAUCCAGGGUUCGAAUCCCUGCCUCUCCG
rnacentral:tRNA from 1 species